rnacentral:lncRNA from 10 species
ACUGGGUAAGUCAAUGAAUGAAUAGCUCCCAGGUAAUACAUGGAUAUUUUAUGGAUCUUGAGAGCUUGUUUGGAAGUUCUAGCAUGGGAGCGAGGCUACUCAUAUACCCUUGACGGAAGACUGAUCCUCCUCUAUCAGGGAUGGUCGUCCUCAACAGAGCACACAGCUUCGGGAGGGAUGCACGAGGAGCUGUGAGGGAGGACAGGGACACCCGCCUAGACAGCCAGAUCAGCCGAAUCAACCCUGGUGAUCAAUGGGGUGACAGAUGUCACAGCCAGAUCAUCCUCACAUCCUACAUGGAUAUUUUAUAAGGGCCUCCUGGAGAUAAUGCCUUAAGUGAAGAAAGUAAGAAAUGAUGGCAAUGUCAAUCAGUUGACAAAUAUUUUCAAGAUCUAAUUACCUGCCUGUGGUGUAGAAAAGCCAAAAGAAGCCUAAAACCUAAUUUGGCUCCUGCCCUUAUGGAGCUUCUAAUCUACUUGGGAAGAAAAGAUCAAUGUACCUGAAAUAAUAAGGGCCACAGGCAUAUCUGUGCGAUGCAGACACAGAACUGCCAGCAAGUGCAAGAAUCACUAGAAAAGGGAGAGGUCAGAGUGUAGGUGCAGGAGCUACUAACUUGCUUGUGGGUGAGGCAAGCCAGCUCUGCUGAAUGGCCCUGAGUCAUCUGGCCCAAGUUAGAGGGCACAUGCCCCACCCUGAGGGGUCCGGGCUCCUCAUCUGCCUAGGCAUGGCCUAGGCAUGGCCAAGGGCACCUGCAGACCCUGCCCCCUGCAUAACAAGAUAGAAAGGAGAGGGUAUCAGGGCUGUCUCCACACAUAGUCAAAAUAAGCUGUGGCCUGUGAUAUGCAAAGCAUUAAGUAGGGGCUAUAAGGAAUACAGAGGUAAAGGAGGAGGUCUUAUCAUCAGAGAGCUUACACAGUACUAUCCUGUUGAGUUUCUUGGGGACAGCUUUUGAGUCUUCUUCUACUCACUAUACCAGCACCCAGCUUAGACUCCAUCCAAAAGAAGGUGCUCAAUGAGUGUGUUGGACAAAACAAUCUAGAAAAGGGAAUAGAAACCCUUCCCUGAAUGGUAGAAUACAAGGCAGAACUCGAUUAAAUGCAGAAAGAUCCAGGCAAAAUACUACAGAAGACUAGGAAAGAGAGACUGCAUCUAGUUAGGUGAAGGCCCUCUAGGCUGUGAGCCCUAUUAGGGGAGAAAACAGCAUCUGAAGUUAUUGCUGACUUCCAUAGCUGUAUUUCCAGUGCAGAGCACACAGCAAGUGCUCAAUAGUUACCUUUUCCAUAAAUGCAUGCGGUGGGAUUUGACACCAUUCUUGGAGGAUGGGCAGAAUUCAGACAGAUGGAGAUGGGGCAGAAUAAGAGUUAGUUAAGUGUGGCCGGGCGCGGUGGCUCACGCCUGUAAUCCCACCAAACCUUGACAAUUUGACUUAAACUGAUUUAAAGAGUGUCAAGACAUCAGUUAAUAGGGUUGCUAUAUUAGAGAAAAAUUUAAAAAGUGUGUGUCAAGACGAUAGUGUUUUGGAAAUUGACAGAAAAGGCCAGGUACAGUGGCGCACACCUAUAAUC